UACCAACACACCUCACCAACUAAUCGGAGAGAGCAAGAAACACUAGGAUCAAGGCAAAACCUUAAAAUCGACUGGAGACAAACCACGUAAGAUCAACAAUUCUUACACGCGGACACAAUUUCCUUGGUCUUAUGCAGCAAAAUUCUCUUGUUUAAAGAAUAAUAAUUUUUAUUUUCUUUAAUUCGGUAGAGCAAGAACACAAAUUCUUUAUUUUACCACAUUUGUAAUUUGGUAUGAGCAUUUUUCCCACUUUAGUUAUC